rnacentral:rRNA from 1 species
GACGAACCGUGCGAACGUUAUUCGGAAUCAUUGGGCUUAAAGAGCGCGUAGGCGGCGACGUAAGUUGGAAGUGAAAUCCCAUCGGCUCAACCGUGGAAUCGCUCCCAGUACUGCGUUGCUCGAGGGAGAUAGGGGCCUGUGGAACUGCCGGUGGAGCGGUGAAAUGUGUUGAUAUCGGCGGGAACGCCAGUGACGAAAGCGACAGGCUGGACCUUUUCUGACGCUGAGGCGCGAAAGCUAGGGGAGCAAACGGG